rnacentral:tRNA from 1 species
CUCUGUUUAGACAGGUCCAGGGAGAAGCAGCUCACCUCCUCUGUUUCGUGCCCAAUACAUGACUUGGUAUAUAGAAGCAUCGUGCCCAAUACAUGACUUGGUUCAUAGAAGCAUCGUGCCCAAUACAUGACUUGGUUGAUAGAAGCAUCGUGCCCAAUACAUGACUUGGUUGAUAGAAGCAUCGUGCCCAAUACAUGACUGGUUCAUAGAAGCAUCGUGCCCAAUACAUGACUUGGUUCAAAGAAGCAUCGUGCCCAAUACAUGACUUGGUUGAUAGAAGCAUCGUGCCCAAUACAUGACUUGGUUGAUAGAAGCAUCGUGCCCAAUACAUGACUUGGUUGAUAGAAGCAUCGUGCCCAAUACAUGACUGGUUCAUAGAAGCAUCGUGCCCAAUACAUGACUUGGUUCAAAGAAGCAUCGUGCCCAAUACAUGACUGGUUCAUAGAAGCAUCGUGCCCAAUACAUGACUGGUUCAUAGAAGCAUCGUGCCCAAUACAUGACUUGGUUCAAAGAAGCAUCGUGCCCAAUACAUGACUUGGUUCAUAGAAGCAUCGUGCCCAAUACAUGACUUGGUUGAUAGAAGCAUCUUGCCCAAUACAUGACUUGGUUGAUAGAAGCAUCGUGCCCAAUACAUGACUGGUUCAUAGAAGUAUCGUGCCCAAUACAUGACUUGGUUCAAAGAAGCAUCGUGCCCAAUACAUGACUGGUUCAUAGAAGCAUCGUGCCCAAUACAUGACAGGUUCAUAGAAGCAUCGUGCCCAAUACAAGACUUAGUUCAAAGAUGCAUCGUGCCCAAAACAUGACUUGGUUCAUAGAAGCAUCGUGCCCAAUACAUGACUUGGUUCAUAGAAACAUCGUGCCCAAUACAUGACUUGGUUCAUAGAAGCAUCGUGCCCAAUACAUGACUUGGUUCAUAGAAACAUCGUGCCCAAAACAUGACUUGGUUCAUAGAAACAUCGUGCCCAAUACAUGACUUGGUUGAUAGAAGCAUCGUGCCCAAUACAUGACUUGGUUGAUAGAAGCAUCGUGCCCAAUACAUGACUUGGUUGAUAGAAGCAUCGUGCCCAAUACAUGACUUGGCUCAUUCUAUGUAGUGUUCUAGUGCUGUGAUAUUGGAACACAGCCACUGUGAGUCAUCAGGCCUAUUGUUCGUUCUCAGUCACAGUACACAUUAAUUAGUAGUUAGUGAGUAAUCCCUUGCAGCUCAGUUGGUCCCGUGUGGCUCAGUUGGUCGAGCAUGGUGCUUGCAACGCCAGGGUUGUAGGUUUGAUUCCCACGGGGGACCAGUAUGAAAAUGUAUGCACUCACUACUGUAAGUUGCUCUGGAUAAGAGUAUCUGCUAAAUGACAAAUGUAAUCCACAAUGAAUAUCCCUCUAGAUCAGGGAUGGGCAACUUUGAUGAGGGUGGGGGCCACAUAAAGUCUGAACUCAUCAUGAGGUACUGCAGCUCACAGUUAUGCAAACCCACAUCCAUCCAGCGUUAAUUUGGUGCAAUUCUACACAAUUUGCCAUGGGGUGUAGAGAAAAUGCUGCAAUUCUACAGAUUUUGCCAAAGGGUGGAGAGAAAUGUUUGCAGUUUUUCAUACGAUAUCUGAGUGAGACUGACUAACUAAAUCAAUGUGGGCCGCCCGGCCGUAAUACGACCAUGAUAAAAAGUUUAGAUAACUAGCCGUUAAACUCAUUAAACAAUCUACAAAAUGUUAGCUGACUUGGGCUAAUUGACUGACUGUCAGUGACAUAAGACAUACACUGGUGAUGCAACAACCACAUUACUAAAUAGCCAAUUGUGUAUCCUACUAUUCGGACUCUCAACAGGAAGUCGAGACCCCAAAGGAGUUCACAAAAAACUAGAUUAUAAAAUAACAGUUGCCCAUCCCUGAUCUAGUGCCGUCGAUGGUUUCAAUAGGCCCCUUGUUGUCGAAUAUAAAUUACAUUUAAGAGGAGAGAAUCAAAGGAAACUGUAGUUACAUUAAUCACAUUAUAUUAGUUCUGUUAGAAUACAACAACACACUAACAAACUGAAAGACAUCAAGGUAAUGAGCUUUGUCUAAUGUUCUAACAGUACAAAUAAUCAAUUUGAAAGUCUCUGAAAGAAAAUAGGAUAGGUAGAGUGUCAAGGAAUGGAAAUAGGAUAGGUAGAGUGUAAAGGAAAGAAGAUAGGAUAGGUAAAGUGUAAAGGAAAGAAGAUAGGAUAGGUAAAGUGUAAAGGAAUGAAAAUAGGAUAGGUAGAGUGUCAAGGAAAGAAGAUAGGAUAGGUAGAGUGUCAAGGAAAGAAGAUAGGAUAGGUAGAGUGUCAAGGAAGGUGUCCAAAAUGGCCUGGUCGUCACUCUCUAUAGAAUAUAAUCAGUUUUCUUCUUCUCAUUACGAAUAUAAUCCAUUUAAAUGAAGUCUAACCCUAGACGAGUGGUUCAGGGCACCUUGUACCAACUCCUACACACUGACCCCAGAGGGGAUAUCUGGGUCUAUAAGGGAAGACCUGAGCCAUGCAACCCAGAGGGGAUAUCUGGGUCUAUAAGGGAAGACCUGAGCCAGGCAACCCAGAGGGGAUAUCUGGGUCUAUAAGGGAAGAACUGAGCCAGACAACCCCUUCCCAGUUCACUCCUAGCAUGCUACUGUUCCAUAAUGCUAUCUACUUCCAAUUUUCAGGAACCCACAUCUCCAGAAGGGAUGUCUUGGUCUCUGGGGAAGGUCUGAACCAGUCAACCCAGAGGGGAUGUCUAGGUCUCUGGAGAAGGUCUGAACCAGUCAACCCAGAAGGGAUGUCUUGGUCUCUGGGGAAGGUCUGAACCAGUCAACCCAGAGGGGAUGUCUAGGUCUCUGGAGAAGGUCUGAACCAGUCAACCCAGAAGGGAUGUCUAGGUCUCUGGGGAAGGUCUGAACCAGUCAACCCAGAGGGGAUGUCUAGGUCUCUGGAGAAGGUCUGAACCAGUCAACCCAGAAGGGAUGUCUAGGUCUCUGGGGAAGGUCUGAGCCAGUCAACCCAGAGGGGAUGUCUAGGUGUCUGGGGAAGGUCUGAACCAGUCAACUCAGAGGGGAUGUCUAGGUGUCUGGGGAAGGUCUGAACCAGUCAACUCAGAGGGGAUGUCUAGGUGUCUGGGGAAGGUCUGAACCAGUCAACCCAGAGGGGAUGUCUAGGUCUCUGGAGAAGGUCUGAACCAGUCAACCCAGAGGGGAUGUCUAGGUCUCUGGAGAAGGUCUGAGCCAGGCGUUCCACCCUAUUCUAUAUGGAGGUAGAGUCCCUAUCCUCCAGCCCAGGAAUGUGUCCCAAAUGGAAGUCUAUUCCCAAUUUAGUGCACUACAUUUGACCAGACAUUUGGGAUGACACAAGCCUCAGAGGCCAUGAAAUCCACCUGGUCAGGGAUCUGCCCUCCAGUCUCCAUGCAAUAAUUCUGGAGCUGCUGGGUUUAUAAAUGAGGCCACAUAUAUACCACCAUCAACCCCUACUCUAGCACCAUCCUGGCUGGUGCUGCAAAAUUACAGUGACUUUACCAAAAUCCAUAUUCCCUCCUGAUUCUGGGAAUCUUCCAAUCAGGUUUCAUGGGAAAGUUAUCAGAAUAUUGCAAACCUAAUCCAGGCAGUGCUGCUUGGUGUUGUCAAUCGAAUUAUGCUUGCAUUCCAAAUAUGGUCUCCACCUGAGAAUAAGGAGAAACCUUUUUUGUUCUAGGUAGAACCAUUUUUGGUUCCAUGUAGAACCCGUUUGAGUUCCAUGUAGAACUUCAAAGGGUUCUCCUAUGGGGACAGCCGAAGAACCCUUUGAGGUUCUACAUAGCUCCUUUUUUUCUAAGCGUGUACACAUACUCUGGCAGCCGUUUCACUGCUUUCUGACAUCCCAUAUGUCAGUGACAGCCACAGAUUAGGACUUUCAGAAAGUUACAUAAAAACAAAAAUGCACGACAAACGCAGCAGUACCCUCAUCCCUUCAAGGGUGACCACAUCCCAAAUUACAACCUGUUCUUUAUUUAGUGCACUACUUUUGACCAGAGCGCUAUGGGCUAUGUAAGGAAUGGGUACACUACAUUGGGAAGAGGGUGCUACUUGGGACACAGCCAGUGAAGAUCAGCAGCAACCCAGACUACUCUUGUCAACACUGUCAGUGUGAUUCCAAUGCUCUGUCUGUCUGUCUGUCUGUCUGUCUGUCUGUCUGUCUGUCUGUCUGUCUGUCUGUCUGUCUGUCUGGUUCCAACACUCUGUCUGUCUGUCUGUCUGUCUGUCUGUCUGUCUGUCUGUCUGUCUGUCUGUCUGUCUGUCUGUCUGUCUGUCUGUCUGUCUGUCUGUCUGUCUGUCUGUCUGGUUCCAACACUCUGUCUGUCUGUCUGUCUGUCUGUCUGUCUGUCUGUCUGUCUGUCUGUCUGUCUGUCUGUCUGUCUGUCUGUCUGUCUGUCUGUCUGUCUGUCUGUCUG